GAUGAAGAACGUAGCGAAAUGCGAUAAGUAAUGUGAAUUGCAGAAUCCAGUGAAUCAUCGAAUCUUUGAACGCACAUUGCGCCCAUUAGUAUUCUAGUGGGCAUGCCUGUUCGAGCGUCAUUAAGUCCACUUAAGCCCUGCUUAGUGUUGGGAGACUGCUCCAGCGGUGCUACCAUGUAGCUACCCUGCAGCUCCUCAAAGACAGCGGCGGAGUUGUGGUAUCCUCUGAGCUUAGUAACUUGUUCUAGCUUUCGAGUACACCACUUCCCCUGCCGUAAAACCCUUAAUUUUUAAUGGUUGACCUCGGAUCAGGUAGGAAUACCCGCUGAACUUAAGCAUAUCAAUAAGCGGAGGA
rnacentral:misc_RNA from 1 species